GGCGGUCACGGUGUUGUGCGCAUGCGCACGAUGCGAAUUCUGGUACUAGGCCGGUUAGGAGCCUUCCGUAACCCCGCGCAUUUCCUUGAUUUUCCACGCUGUGAAAUGUAAUUGGUCUUCACUUCUGCUCAGAGGAAUCCGGUGAUCUUAAUCAUGAUGCCCGGGGAGACUCACUCCAAGCCUGCGGGCAUUGCUUCUGAGGCAGCAGGCACUUGUCAGAAUUGCACAGCCUUGCAACAGAAUUUAAACGAAUAUGUAGCAGCAUUAAUUGCACUCAAACAAAAGAUAAUAGACUCUGACCACCUGCUUGCGGAGUAUCAGCAGAAAUGUGAAGAUAUCCUUUAUUGAAAUACUUGUUUUACAUUGCAGCCGUUUUAUAUGUUGUAAAUUACAUCUGCUCUUGUAUUUGUAGCUUUACCACAAGAAUUCCGAUAUGUGACUAGGGUUCAUUUAUAGUAGCAUUUUCAACAUUUCUCCUUGUUCAGCCGUGAUUUCUCAUUUAGUGUACACAAGCAAAUUAAAUUGGCUACAGUGGCAAACCUACUAGGAGACACGAUCUGACACUCGCUCAGUCAGGGUGAUGGGAUCCUCCUAUGUUGCCGCUGGAAAGUGAACCUAUGUAUUUAAAUCCCCUUUAUGUGACAGGUUCAUCUGCCAUGCACUGAUACUUAAAGCUAAGGUGCAAUAGUACACAAAACUCUGGCACUCAAGGAUGUACUGUCAUGUGCAUAGGCAUGAAAUAGUUAAUUUUAA